UCUCGAUUGGUCUAGUGGUAAGGAUACCUGCUUGUCAUUAGUCGAUCGUUCGACAAAUUCCAAACGCAGGUGGCCGGGGUUCGAUUCCCCGAUCGAGAG